GAUGAACGCUAGCGGCAGGCUUAACACAUGCAAGUCGAGGGGUAUUGGUUUUCGGACCAAGAGACCGGCGCACGGGUGCGUAACGCGUAUGCAAUCUACCUUUUGCAGAGGGAUAGCCCCAGAGAAAUUUGGAUUAAUACCUCAUAGUAUAGUACUUUGGCAUCAAGGAACUAUUAAAGUCACAACGGCAAAGAUGAGCAUGCGUCCCAUUAGCUAGUUGGUAAGGUAACGGCUUACCAAGGCUACGAUGGGUAGGGGUUCUGAGAGGGAGAUCCCCCANACUGGUACUGAGACACGGACCAGACUCCUACGGGAGGCAGCAGUGAGGAAUAUUGGACAAUGGGCGCAAGCCUGAUCCAGCCAUGCCGCGUGCAGGAUGACGGUCCUAUGGAUUGUAAACUGC
rnacentral:rRNA from 1 species